rnacentral:rRNA from 1 species
CCUACGGGAGGCAGCAGUGGGGAAUAUUGCACAAUGGGGGAAACCCUGAUGCAGCGACGCCGCGUGAGUGAAGAAGUAUUUCGGUAUGUAAAGCUCUAUCAGCAGGGAAGAAGAAAGCCGGUACCUGACUAAGAAGCCCCGGCAAACUACGUGCCAGCAGCCGCGGUAAUACGGAGGAUGCGAGCGUUAUCCGGAUUUAUUGGGUUUAAAGGGUGCGUAGGCGGUUUUGUAAGUUAGUGGUUAAACGUCGGGGCUUCACCUUGAUUUGCCAUUAAUACUGUAAGACUCGAGUUCAGACGAGGUAGGCGGAAUAAGUUAAGUAGCGGUGAAAUGCUGAGAUAUAACUUAGAACUCCGAGAGCGAAGGCAGCUUACCAGACUGCGACUGACGCUGAAGCACGAGAGCGUGGGUAGCGAACAGGAUUAGAUACCCGGGUAGUC